CCGGGAGCACUUGUGCACGUCUGUCUUUUUUAUCUUACCACCUGUGCACACUUUGUAGAUCUGGAGGCAUCUUCACAGACUCUGUCUGUGGUUUUAUGGGGAGCUGUCGUGCCUUUGUGUCGACUCUCUCUGGUCUUUUCAGGUCUAUGUUUUUACAUCAACUCCAUUGCAUGUAAAGAAUGAAUCUAUGGCAGCUUCAUGCAGCCUAUAAAACUAGUACAACUUUCAGCAACGGAUCUCUUGGCUCUCGCAUCGAUGAAGAACGCAGCGAAAUGCGAUAAGUAAUGUGAAUUGCAGAAUUCAGUGAAUCAUCGAAUCUUUGAACGCACCUUGCGCUCCUUGGUAUUCCGAGGAGCAUGCCUGUUUGAGUGUCAUUAAAUUCUCAACCAUCCCAUUUUCUUUCGAACUUGGGCUGUGUUGGAUGUGGGGAUCUGCCGGCGCUUAUUACUUAAGACUUGGCUUUCCUUAAAUGUAUUAGCUAGAGCUCUUCUGUUGACUAGCCGCUAGUGUGAUAAUUAUCUACACUGUGACCAAGGUCAGCCUUUGAAAUGAAGGAACU
rnacentral:rRNA from 1 species